UACGUAGGGUGCGAGCGUUAAUCGGAAUUACUGGGCGUAAAGCGUGCGCAGGCGGCGCGUUAAGACAGGUGUGAAAGCCCCGAGCUUAACUUGGGAAUUGCGCUUGUGACUGGCGUGCUGGAGUGUGGCAGAGGGAUGCAGAAUUCCAGGUGUAGCGGUGAAAUGCGUAGAUAUCUGGAGGAAUACCGGUGGCGAAGGCGGCAUCCUGGACCGGCAUUGACGCUGAGGAGCGAAAGCUAGGGGAGCAAACGGG
rnacentral:rRNA from 1 species